CCGAUUCAGAUGGUCCAGCAUUGUUUGUGACGCCUGCUAGUUUACUUGUGAUGGCUUCCAUUUUUUGAUCAAGCAUUUUCAGAUGCCUCAUCAUAUUUUCUUGGCGCCGUAAAACCUCGUUCAUUGUGGAGUGCAUCUUCGCUUCACUUUGAUCGUCUUCAUCAUGCCCGAACUCCAGUCGAGAUCUUCUUUCUAUACACAUAAUGUGUGCUAGAGAAAUUGGAUGUAGGUAUGUCCCGAUCAUUCUCAGCAAAACCUGUUUGCUGAUCCACAUCACUAGCUUCUUCAUCACCCGUUCCAUCAUCAUCUUCUCUGUUGUACUUUUGAGGUAAGUAUUCUUUGCUUGAAUCCGAUGAGCUGUCUCUGCUGUUGCUUAAUUCUAUUUGUUGAGCAUUUGCAUCAUCAUCACUCGGACAAGGUUGCUGAGGUUGUGAUGAUUUUACCCGGUGACAAUGAUGGUUUGGGAUGAUUAGAUUUCGAGCCAGCUUUUGACACGGAUUUGGCUGAAGAAUUGACUGCAGAUUUGGCUGAAGAAUUGACUGCGGCUUUGACGGUGUUCCAUGAUGGUAAUUAUUCGAAACACCUGGCAAUGGAGAAACUGAUCUUUUUCUGUGAAAAGUGGCCCUGCCACUUGGAUUUGGUGGACGUUGACAGGCUUGAGCCUCACCAACGACUGGCCCGGAACUGCAAUUUUCAAAAUUAAUGGGCCUUCCCCUUCCACGGCCGAUCCCCACGUGAUUGCCGGGCUGCGAUCUUGUUUGCCGGGCAUCUCUUUUCAUCAGAUCUGUUGGUGUUCUUCGGGAGAUGGAUUGUUUGGAAUAUUCCUACGCUUUGGUUCACAUUCCGGUGAAUACCUACUGGCUGGUUUCCUGCUGCGCUUUUCCACUUGGUUCCCACUCGGCAUGUUGGAAGUAUUGAUUUAUGGAACUAAAAAUCAACUGAAGUCUGAAGAGCAUAUGAUGGAAACUAAGGGGGUGUGAGUUGGGGGAGUAGUAUGUAGUAUGUAAGUAGGGUUGCCAGCUUAAUUAAUUAUUCCUGCAUCUUGUUUGCCGAGGGGCACUAAUUCCACUUUUUAUAGUCGUUAGUGAAUUCAUUUUUAUUUAUUUGACAUUGGCAUGUUUUGCCCGACGAGUCUGACCAACACAAAGGUUUUUAUUUAUUGACGUGAUUUUGAAUGAUGAAUGUAGUUAUGCUAUGAAAUAUAGCAUAACAUAGUCUGACAAAAUCUAUGUUUUCAAGUGUGAUCUCUUUAACUUGAAUACAUUUAUUUAACUUUGAUCACGUUGUCAUUUUUUAACAGUUAGUCAUCAACAAAGAAGUUGAGGAACAUUUUAAAAAUGUGUGCAUAUACUCAUUUUGAAGCUCUGGGUCAUCUCUAUUUUCUUCCCUUGUCCUCUCAACAGUCAUCACGGUCUUAUCACGAUCUUUAACAGUUACCACCGAUCUUCUACUUCCAUAUCCGGAAACCGGAAGCUUUUCAACAAAUUAUAAAUAUUCUUUCGACCUUUAACAAUGUUUCCAUUUUGCCUUGACCAAGAUUUGAACCUUCAACCUUUCGAGUGCUGAGCUUAACUCUUAACCAUUAGCCUAACACUGACUUAUAUAAGAUGUCAUCUGGCUGCAUGGUAUUACACUGUAAUAUAUGAGAAAACAUUUAA